UCAAACUUGGUCAUUUAGAGGAAGUAAAAGUCGUAACAAGGUUUCCGUAGGUGAACCUGCGGAAGGAUCAUUACCGAGUGAGGGUCCUUGUGGCCCAACCUCCCACCCGUGUCUAUCUGUACCCUGUUGCUUCGGUGGGCCCGCCGCCUGUCGGCCGCCGGGGGGCUCUCCAGCCCCCGGGCCCGUGCCCACCGAAGACCCCAACUGAACCCUGUUCUGAAAGCUUGCAGUCUGAGUUGAUUAUCAUUAAUCAGUUAAAACUUUCAACAAUGGAUCUCUUGGUUCCGGCAUCGAUGAAGAACGCAGC
rnacentral:misc_RNA from 1 species